UCAGAGCUCAGCACUGAUCACUGCUCCAUCUUUAUUUACAGGAAUGAACCUGAACCUGCAUCCAGCUGUGUGUCCUUUAAGAGCGACCAGUCAAAGGAUAUUGGUGCUUAUUUCAAACAAGAACGUUCAUCAGACAAACAGAUCCAUCAGAGACUCAAACCUGGACCUGAACCUGCAUCCAGCUGUGUGUCCUUUAAGAGCGACUGGUCAAAGGAUAUUGGUCACGAGUUCAAACAAAAACAUUCAUCACACAAAUGGAUCCAUCAGAGACUCAAACCUGAACCUGAACCUGCAUCCAGCUUUAAAGGAGAACAACCUCCUGCUGUGAAGAGGUAAUCUGUAUGUAGAUGUUGUAACUGUGUAAACUGAGUGUCUCAGUUUAAAUGUCUGAAUGAGUAAAUCCUCAAACACAUGUUGAGUGUCAGCUCAGCUCUUCAUCACAUGUAUAUGUUCCUCUGUGAAGCGCUGUGUGCUGUCAGAGCCUUUCUGUGGUGGAGAGGCUGCAGGACAGCAGCUGCUCCAGCAGGUGGCGCCUUUGUUGUUUUUCUCCAACACAGUGACGGCAGGAACUUCGUCUCAGGUGGAAGGUGCUGCUGGACAGAGGAGGACAAAUAGUUUUGUGACUGUGAAAACUGCUUUGAUGUCCUGGAGAGACAUUUGGCUUCAUGGGGGAGUCGGUCCUGGAUGCUGCUACAUCACAUCAGCAGCUCUGAUCACAUUUGUUUUGAGGCAGUUUCUCUGAUUUGUGACUGAUGAACUUACUGAUUCAUCGUUGUUAUGUCUGAAUGAUUUGUGGUAAAUA